GGGUAUAUAGAUAAUAUUCACGAGGCCUUCCGCAUUAACGCCCUUUCAUUUUGGUUUCCACGGCUCACGUUUUCGAGGCUUUCCAAGGGCACCCACGCGGGAGCAACCCAGCCGGCGUGCGAGCUCCUCCGCUGCCUGCUCCGCAGGGGCUCUGCUCCGGCUUGUUGGCCCUGCCCGUCCUAAAACACGCGCGGAAACCCACACCUGCUGAAAACAUGAGUAAGAUUAAAAAAUGACGCUCCACUGCACAAAAGUGAAGGGAAUAGCAAGCAGAAGGGGCAGAAGACGAGGUGGAUGUGCAAAGAAAAAGCUUCAGGGUCUUGCUUCCCAAGCAAAACCAAGCGAGCAACCAACCACAACUACCAGCCAAAAAAAAUCUCAUGUGCUUUAUUUGCCUUCCAUGGACUUGUAUGUUUAGCACAUCUUUUAUCGUCCCACCGUGCUUCCAGAAAGUUGCUGUACCUUAGCCUGAAAUCACAGGCUGCAGCGUGAGAUUUUGGCAACCUCCCUUCUGGUACAGCUGUUGAAGGAGAUUUAGCUUCCAGCAGAACUCAUUCAUCCCACCACUUAUGCCAGAUAUUGAGUGACUAAAUCAGCUGUUGGGGUGGUUCCUUGUGCAGCCAAAAUGAUCAGCUCCCAUGUGCAGUCCACUCGAGAUACCACCACCUAAGCCAGAAUGACACUGGUGUACCAAAAAACCAGCCAAUUACAUUAAGCGAUGAUUACAUCAUAUACAGCUCAUUUCAGUUUUGCUAUUACCAAAGAACAGCGGAAGCUAUGUGAGAGAACGAAACAGCAAAAAAUCUGGGUUUUGCCCAAGUUAUGGGCUUGAGCAUUGAAAUUAAUCUUUGAUCCUAAUUUCUGCAGGAGAUGAAGCAAUGGAAAUCACGUGGGGAUUUUUGUCUUUAAAAUAUGUUCCUUUAAUACCCUCAAAUAAUAAUCCUUAUUAAAUGCAUUAUUUCUUGCCUUCACAGGGCUUAAGUGGAUUUUAAAUAAUUCCUAGACCUUGCACAGUCCCUUUAUGGAUAAAUACCUUUUAUCCUCUGUACCUGCGUGUAUUUUGCUAAGCAAGUCUCACGGUGGGGUGCAUUAGAAAUAUCCAGAUGGGCAACACCAGCAGCCGUGGUACUAUCAGGAGUUGCCGAAGAGCUAAUUGAGGAGUCAAGAGGCUGUGGUGGGGAGCGAGCAGCAAGAAUGGAUGAACUUUAAGAGCAAACAGACCAUUUUAAUUCAAUAUUCCAGAAUGGGAAAGACAAAUAGAGACACCCCAGCGGAACUGUUUUCAAAGACUGGUUUCUAUGAAAUCUCAAUAGUGUUAUGGGCAUUUGCUUGAGAAUAUUUACUUUUUGGUUGGUUAUUUGAGAGUCUUUGAUGUUUGCUCAGCUGACCCAUCCUGAUUUCUUGCCCUUUGCUGCCCGUAGGCACCUUUUGUCACUGCAUGCCUACAUGCUUUAUAUCCAGCCUCCAUACAGAUUAGAGUUGUCUCUUGGGCAAGCCGGACAAAAUGAAACCUCCAGGUUUAUUUCAGCUGAUUUGAACUGCUGCCAAGGCAAGGGCCACACUCCGUAUCUCAGGGACUGAGUUUUAAAAAUCUCAUGGGCAUAGAUCUAGUAAAGAACAGAACACUCAAUUGCCAUUUAUUUCCAGAAGGUAUUUCUGCAUCUUCUCAAGGUUGAAUUUUAUGAAGACUCACCCCAUCAAAUUCUAGCCCCAAGCUGUAUUUUGGUUUUACACAUGUCUGUGAGGCUGUUUUCCUUCUACACCGCCCCCCCCCCCCCCCCCGAUAGUUUUAAAUCUAAUAUGAUUGAAUGCUUGAUUGUGAUUGUUGUGAAAGGGACCUGGACUUUAGCAGAGAAGUAGACAAUCAACUUUUUUUUUUUUUUUCUUCAGGAUAUGUCUUAGUAAAAUGGAAAUGUUUGUAUAAAACAAGGAUCUUUGAGCUCUUUUAGAAAUCUCUAUAAAACACUGAAUUUUAUAAGACUAAUUCAGCUCCACACAAGACUGUCCUUUGAGAUAUAUCCUCAUUCCUAGUAUGCAAAAGAAAACUGGAUUUUAGGCUUCUGUAUCUGUAGAAUUAACAGAUUAGUAAACAAAUACAAAUCUUCAACCAAAUUCCUCCAAGCAGAUGCCCAAACUGCACCAAGUGCUGUGAGAAGUGGUCCUGCUUGCUAGGUUUGUGAGCAGCCUUCAGUGAAGAAGCCAGGUACCAGCUGGGGAUGAAGAGCGACUGGCUUUCUCUCCCCAGGAGGUGAUUUCAUCAGGUCAGGAUUAAGGAAAGUAGCAGGGCAGGUUGGAGCAUCUUGCAGGACUGUCAAUCCAACGUCUUCUAAGAACAGCAGAUUCACACCUGCAAAACUAUAAAUAAGGAAAAAUAUGUGCUAACUGCAGCGUAUUAGCAGAAAACCUACUAUGUGCCUCUAGAAAAAAAAAAACCUCUCUGUCUAUUUGGGAAAAAUAAAAAGCAUAUGCUUGAAGUUGUUAUCAUAUAAACACAUGCCUAGAACAUGAACAUUUCCAGCAUGCAAAUAAAUUGACUUGUCACUCAACAUAGUUUCUAUAUACUGAAAUUUAAAGUAAUUAAAGGACAGCUGCUGGGCUCCAUUCAGAAAUAUUUGUUUUAUUUUUGUAACACUCAGGAUAUUUUCUGUAUUUUCAGAGGUAUUAGAUUUCAGUUUGCUACAGUUAAUGUAACAGAAAAUUCUGUAGUCAUUAUUGACUGCAACUGCCAACAUACAAUUUGAGAAUUAAAGUGCAAUGUGGAAAACUGG